CCCUUAGAUGUCCUGGGCUGCACGCGCGCUACACUGAUGCAUUCAACGAGUUUCUUCCUGGUCCGAGAGGAAUGGGUAACCUUUUGAAAGUGCAUCGUGAUAGGGAUAGACUAUUGCAAUUAUUGGUCUUCAACGAGGAAUUCCUAGUAGACGUAGUUCAUCAGACUGCAUCGAUUACGUCCCUGCCCUUUGUACACACCGCCCGCCGCUCCUACCGAUUGAAUGCUCAGGUGAGCCAUUCGGACUUUCAUCAUGCUGGUUUCCAGUUUUGAUGAAGGAAAGUCUUGCGAACCUUAUCAUUUAGAGGAAGGAGAAGUCGUAACA
rnacentral:rRNA from 1 species